UCGCCCGCCGCGCGCGGCGGGCAGGGCGGGGGCACGGGGGGCCUACGGGAGGCAGCAGUGAGGAAUAUUGCACAAUGGGCGAAAGCCUGAUGCAGCAACGCCGCGUGAGGGACGAAGGCCUUCGGGUUGUAAACCUCUUCUCUGAGAGACGAGACAAGGACGGUACCUCAGGAAUAAGUCUCGGCUAACUACGUGCCAGCAGCCGCGGUAAUA
rnacentral:rRNA from 1 species